rnacentral:misc_RNA from 1 species
UGUGGGAGCGGGCUUGCUCGCGAAGGCGUCAGACCUGCCAGUGAUGAGUUGACUGAGACACCGUAUUCGCGAGCAAGCCCGCUCCCACA